UUUUACAAUGUGAUUGACAGUCCGGUGCGGAAAAGCCCAUCAACCUGAACGAACUAUUGCAGAACGAACUUGAGGCUAGCUGACUGUCUGCCGUUAUGUUUUAAAAUAUAUUUAUCAAAUGUUUACGGAGUUUAAUUUCAAUCCGUGACUGUACUGUGUCAUGUAAUCGCGUUAUAUGUAUGACAUUAAUAAUACAAUUAUGUUCAGUUAUCUUCAAUGUAUCUUUCUCAGCAAAACGAACAUGCUUAGCUAGCAUACCAGCCAGUGAGCUAGGUAGGCUAUCCGUGGUUAACGGUAACCCAGGAACCCAGGAAACCUGACAAGAACGUUCUUCAUAGGAACUCUCUAAUCCGAAUUUGGCGUUCUUGGUAUUGAGAAGAUUUGAAACCAGAUGUGACAGCAAUGCACACCCUUGUACUCCGAGGCCUCCCUGUUCUACUUGGUGAUGACCCCAGUAACUUCUACAACAACUGCUUCUGAUGAGGCCUGGGCACAAGUAUCUGUUGGGGUGCUGACUGUCAUCAGAGAAGAUGUGCCUAUCUCUCCAAAUCAUCUCCACCGUGACCCAGUGUCUACUGCCAUCAUUGUUGAGGGAGGUAUUGUAAUGGACAAUCUCCAGAACCUACCUCAAGCACUUUGCCUCUUAUUUGGGCUGUCAUAUGCUUUACACUUGGACUACCCUAAAGCCAUGAAAAACACUUUCAGCUUCAUUCAAAGAGUGAAAAAAAAGACAGUCCAGCAGACUCCGUUGUUCACAAUACUGCUAUAGCACUGAGUUGGCAGAGCAGUGUAACAUAGGUGAGCAUUUGGUGUUUUAGAUUGUUAUUCUGAAGAAGUUAAAGUUAUUGUUCAUUGUAAAAUAUAAAACCUCCAGUACAUGUCUAUUUGAUUACCAAAUUGGACGUUUUACUAAACAUAGUGCAAGUAUAAACAUAGUGCAAGGGAAAGAGUGUUAAGAAUAAGAAUAGGUACAAGUACUAUAUGUCUAUUUGGUGUCCGUGGGGGUUAGGAUAACUGUCUGUCUGUCCCCCACGGACAUCAAAUAGACAUAUAGUACUUCUACCUAUUCUUAUAACACUUUUUCCUUUGCACUAUGUUUAUACUUGCACUAUGUUUAUUGUUUGCACUAUGUCUAUGUUUAUUGCACUAUGUUUAUUUUAUUUUAUUUUUAUGUUUACUGUUACGCAUCAUCAGACCAAAGAAAAUUCCUUGUACGUGAAAACCUACUUGGCAAUAAACCUGUUUCUGAUUCUGAAAUGUUUUUAUUUGAACCAAAAAAAUAGCAGCCAGUAUAUUGUUAUUGGAUAUGUUUUAGUUCUACCUGUUGGUAUGGGCCCGAAAAAUUUAGUAUUGGUUGGGCUUAUUUUUUAUACUGUCAUUUAAAUGAUGGUGUACAGAAGCCAGUAUUUGCCAUGACAAUAGCUGCACAGUCUCUUAAAAUUGUUUAAACCAGCACAAUAAGAUUUUUAACUGGCACAAUGUGUUAACAGACCUGGAACUAUAGUGUGCUUUGUGACUUUUUGAGAUGUAAUGAUAUAAACCAAUGCCAACUUGUGCGGACCAA